CUGCAAAGCAGAAAGGAAAAGGAAAGAAAUGCAAUGCAAUCUCUGUGUGGGAUCCAUUGAAAAUAAAAAUCAUUUUGCUUGAGUUCUGAGUUUAAACUAGGUUUGAGAGAAGCUCUCCAUGCUGCUCAGGUUGUCAGGUUUUAGGUGUGACCUGCAUGGAGCACCAUGUGCUAUCAGGAAGCGCCAGAGGCACCUUGGUCACUUUUGCAGAGAUCAAGAGGUUGUGUUUACAUACCUUAACAAUUCUACUCCAAUUACAUCUCCUUAGGAUAUUAGCAUAUUUUAUUAUCUCAACUACAAAAAUUCAAAUGUUGUUCAUCGGUUGUUGGUGGUAUUGGUGGGAGUACCUAUAGGAUUCUCAUUCUAGAGAAUGGACAGAAAUCUGUAUAUAAUGGAUGUUUGUUUGUUCAGCAGCCUUCUAGUUUUCAACGAAAAAAUAGAAGCAAAAAGAAAUCAAAAUGAAUUACACAGUAACACCAGGAACAAGCAAGAAAAUGAAUAUAGGUCAAUUUAGAUGCAGAAUUCCUUUAUUUAUUUACAUUUACAUAUAAUUAUAUUUUCAGUUUUCAUUUUUAGGUUUAGUGAUUUUGUUAUGUGCUUUUGUCAUUUUUAUUAGUUUGUUUAUAUUCAAUUUAGCUUUAUUUUUAUUUCUGUUUUAGUUUUAGUAAUUUUAGUACUUCGACUUAUUUCAAUUAGCUUUCCUUGGCAAUAUUUCUAAUUUUAAGUUUUUCAUUUAAAAUUUUACAUUUUAUUUGAUGUAAUUCAGCUAAUAUUUAAGAUAAUAAUCCAGUUAACAAAAACUGUUGUUAAUAGUUUUAGUUUUAGUUAACAAUAACAACACUGUCCAUAAUCUUUACUUGAACCCAGAACAUUCCUUUAAGAUUAAAAGGCACUUCUGGUUGUAACUGGGAUAAGUGACCUCAGCUUUUGUGAAUGCAUUCAUGUUAUCAAUCUUUGUCUGAGAAUGAGUCACAUUGUUUGAAGAAUUCACCCCUUAUGGUGUUCUGUUGCAGCUCUGGCCUUUCGAUGGACAUUACGGGGCCUGUACAGGCGAACAUCCACAUAAAACCUUCAGAAGAAUUAUAAAUCUCAAAAAAGAUCACAGCAGAUCAGCAGUUCUCAAAGAGAGACUAGAUAUCUAGUCACCAUCAUAUAUAAUAAAUAACAAACAAUGACAAAGAUCUAAAGCUAAGCAAUGUUAGUACAAGUUUGUACAAGUACAAAGCCAAAAUAAUGAAAACACAUUCAAACUGUAUCAUGUGAAUCCAUUGUGUUUAGCUUGGCAUCUGGUUGCGUUUGCUCUCUAUGGGAUGUGAUUGGAGUUGUGAUGACAGGCAACAGCACAAGAAUGUGGUGACGUGGGACUUUGCUGGGGGGUGGAGGAGUGAGGUCUGGCUAACGGGUGGAAGAGGAGGGAGGAGAGGGUGGUGUUGGGCCAACAAUGGCUUGAAGACCUGGAGGAAGGUCAAUCCAUCAAAAUGUAUUCUUGGCAAAGGGACAGGACAGAAUUAGAAAAUGUAUGAGGAAUCAUUUGAGAGAGGGAGGUCUUGAGGGAGGAAAAAUGCUUGAAAUUACCAAGAUGCAUUUUUUUUGGGCAGUUUUGAAAUUUGGGUAUUUCACAGUUACAUUUGGCAGUAGAACAUGAAUUUAGAAAAAUGUCUCUUUUAUGCUCUCAUUAUGCAAUGACUUUAAACAAGGCUACAACAUGACUUGUUAAACAAUUAAAAGUAUGUCAUCAUUUAUUCACCAUUAAUGCAUUGCAAACCUGUAUGGCUUACUUUCUUCUGUGAAAGACAAAAGGAGAUAUUUUAAAGAAUGUUCUUGCUGCUCUUUUCCAUAUAAUAAAAGUGAAUGUAAAUGGAUGCUGCUUGAGCUCCAGAAUGGAAAAACACAGCACCAUAAAAGUAGUCCAUACAUCUAGAACUUUACCAUAAAAAAAUACAGUGUCAAUAUUUAGGUUUUACGGAUUGAACUUAAAUUUAGUGUAAAAACAAAUUUCAUUAACUGAUCUAAUGUUAAUAUACCAACCUACUGAAGUACUAAAAUCUGCUUUGUACCUUUACAAUACUGACAACCACCAUAAAAACACAGGAGUAAUGAGAAAUCCACAUGUAGAAUCAAAGCAAAUCACAAAUAGCUUUUCCACAAGCUGAGAAGGACAGUACUAAUAUAUUGAAGGUGCACACAGUAUCAUUCACACACACACACACACACACACACACACACACACACACACACUAAACACCAUCAUGGUAACACACAAGAAACACACUUCAAAUACACACGACACCAAAAUAAUGCAAUAAACAUUAAUUUACCAACAUGAGAUGUAACAUAAAACUCUAAUGUGCAUUACUGAUAACAAAAAACUAAGAAGAAACAAUUAUUUAAAUGAAAAGCCAUCAAAUAUGAAGUGUCACAUAUAGGGAAUUCGUAUGACAACAGUUCAAAUUGUUAAAUAAAGUCAUUAUUUUACACUAAGGUUGAACCACUGUAGUCAUGUUGACUAUUUCAACAAUGUCUUUACUACUUCUCUGGACCUUGAAUGUGGUAAUUUUGUUGCUUUAUAUGGAAGAUUUAAAAAAAAAACCUCUUGGAUUUCAUCAAAAAUAUCUUAAUUUGUAUUCUGAAGAAGAACGAAGGUCUUACAGGUUUGGAAUGACAUGAGGAUGAGUACUUAAUGACAGAAAUUUCAUUUUUGGGUGAACUAACCCUUUAAAAAUCAAAUAAAAAGAGUGGAUAUGAAUGAAAACAGAACUGCAAUGCAGAACUGCAUUACUCAUUAUACACAGCUUGGAUGAAUCAUGCCACUACAGUUGUAUCCUCUCUCAUUAUGGUUUGAAUAAGAAACCCUCUAUCACACAAUGUCAACAACAAACAGCUCAUUGCUUCUCUUUCCUAUAUCUCAGGUUUUUCAGAGAGGUCUAUGUAAAUAUUCAUAGAGAUUAACAAGAAGAGCUUACAGAAACUUGUCGGUUUUGCUAUCUGUAAAUAUGGAAACGAGAGCCAUGAGACAGUCUGGGCUGCAUUCUUGAGCUGGGGAAAACUACAGAUUUAAGCUUUGGAAAGUAGGCAGGGAAAGUGGAAUGCUUUUUCCUUAUGUCACCUUAAGACACAUACACACACACACAUUCAUUUCUCUGACUUGGGUUAUGAAAACAGUUUGCCUUUGGAAAAUGAAAUAGGAGUAAAAAUCUUGGAAAUAUUUGUUUUGGGUGAAGGUAAUUCAAAGCAAAACAUGAAGAGACAAUUGUGUAUGUUGCCAGAUAUGUUACAACGCACCCUCUAGUGGCUAUGAAGAUCAAUUCAGUCAUGUUUCAAAAAGAAAAUUAAGAAGAACUCAGAUGGUCAAAGCAGAUUACUAUAAACAUGACAUUUAUUUAUUUAGUUUAAAAGCAGAAAAAUACAUUUUUCAAGCAUGUUUGAGUAAAAAUUGUUGAAUCAAGGUCUGGCAACUGUACAAAAUCAAUUUACAAUUCUUGCACAUUCAACAGAAGCUUCAAACAAUACUGCAUGUAAACUGAUUGGGCCUGUCUGCUUUCACAGAAAGGCUUUUGAAAAACCCUCUCAAACAAAAUUGAGGGCAACAGGAAACAAAGGAAGUAGUUGUCUUGUUUGUUUGUUUUUUUAAAUCCCUUUUUUUUUUUUUUUUUUUUUAAUGCAGUCCUGCAUUUGUUAAGGAACUGAACAAGACAUUGGAUGCUAAAAAUAGUACA